rnacentral:rRNA from 1 species
UACAGAGGCCUCAAGCGUUGUUCGGAUUCAUUGGGCGUAAAGGGAGCGUAGGCGGCCGGGUAAGUCGGAUGUGAAAUCCUGGGGCUCAACCUCAGAACUGCAUUCGAUACUGCUUGGCUAGAGGACUGGAGAGGUGGGUGGAAUUCACGGUGUAGCAGUGAAAUGCGUAGAUAUCGUGAGGAAGACCAGCGGCGAAGGCGGCUCACUGGACAGUAUCUGACGCUGAUGCUCGAAGGCCAGGGGAGCAAACGGG